rnacentral:rRNA from 1 species
GAUGAACGCUGGCGGCGUGCCUAAUACAUGCAAGUCGAGCGAACGGACGAGAAGCUUGCUUCUCUGAUGUUAGCGGCGGACGGGUGAGUAACACGUGGAUAACCUACCUAUAAGACUGGGAUAACUUCGGGAAACCGGAGCUAAUACCGGAUAAUAUUUUGAACCGCAUGGUUCAAAAGUGAAAGACGGUCUUGCUGUCACUUAUAGAUGGAUCCGCGCUGCAUUAGCUAGUUGGUAAGGUAACGGCUUACCAAGGCAACGAUGCAUAGCCGACCUGAGAGGGUGAUCGGCCACACUGGAACUGAGACACGGUCCAGACUCCUGCGGGAGGCAGCAGUAGGGAAUCUUCCGCAAUGGGCGAAAGCCUGACGGAGCAACGCCGCGUGAGUGAUGAAGGUCUUCGGAUCGUAAAACUCUGUUAUUAGGGAAGAACAUAUGUGUAAGUAACUGUGCACAUCUUGACGGUACCUAAUCAGAAAGCCACGGCUAACUACGUG